GCAAUGAGGGUGCCAGCACACUCCCUCAGCGGCCCGGCCUUCCGGGAACCCAGGCCCGUGACUCAGCCGCCCCUUCCCCGGGGUUGCCACGGCAGCAGCAGGAGGAGCGGAGCCGCUGGGCUUGCAACCAGAGCAACCGCGAAGGCAUCGGAGCUCGACCGCGGGCUUCUGGGGCCUGGGUUCUACUCCUCCCGGCCUGAGGCAGCCCCGCCACACCAGGGGACGGGGAGCCCAGAGGCGAAGCGCCAGGGCAGGAGAAAGCAGGCCGAGCCGCUGCUGCCCACUGCUCCCCUGUCCCUGGCCCCUGGGUCUUGCCCUGUGCUCACCGCCAUGCAGAGAGCCAUGACAGGUUCAUAAAUGAGGACGUCCGGGGGGAGCAUCCACAGAAGAGUCCGCGGCAGGUCAGGCCCUGCGCGGGGACCUCGUCAGCCAGCUCAAACGCCUCGAAAAAGGAAGCACGUGCUUCAGAUGUGACCAGAUCCCAAGAAAUACCAACAGGUGCCUCUGAACAGUCCGCAAACUGCCCCCCAAGAUACCCACUGUCUGCAGGGUCCAUGCCCGGAGUUGCCCUGCCCGGGCUGGAAUGGACCAGUCGGAAACAAGAGCCGAGUCAUACCCAAACCUGCGUAAAGAUGAAGUCUCACCC